rnacentral:rRNA from 1 species
CUACCCGGGUAUCUAAUCCUGUUUGCUCCCCACGCUUUCGCACCUCAGCGUCAGUACCGGGCCAGUGAGCCGCCUUCGCCACUGGUGUUCUUGCGAAUAUCUACGAAUUUCACCUCUACACUCGCAGUUCCACUCACCUCUCCCGGACUCGAGAUCGCCAGUAUCAAAGGCAGUUCUGGAGUUGAGCUCCAGGAUUUCACCCCUGACUUAACAAUCCGCCUACGUGCGCUUUACGCCCAGUGAUUCCGAGCAACGCUAGCCCCCUUCGUAUUACCGCGGCUGCUGGCAC